GCUGGGCGUGGUGGCGCGCGCCUGUAAUCCCAGCUACUCAGGAGGCUGAGGCAGGAGAAUCGCUUGAACCCGGGAGGCAGAGGUUUCAGUGAGCUGAGAUUGUGCCACUGCACUGCAGCCUGGGUGACAAAGCGAGAUUCCGUCUCAA
rnacentral:SRP_RNA from 1 species